rnacentral:lncRNA from 1 species
AUCAAUUUCCUGCAAGGAUCCUGACAGUCAAGGAUGGCCAGCAGUAAGGGGUUUCGUUUUGGAGGAUGAGGGACACAAAUGUCUCUUCUCCAAGGUGAGGAGAUGCCUGAAGGACAGGAGACACUCACAGGAGGCCCUGGAGACAGAUGUGCCUCACAGGCAUUCCUGAGGACCUGUGGCCUGGCAGCACAGAGACUGGGUGAAAACAGAACCUUGUGAUCUGCAAGUUCUGCCGCUGCCCUGUCUGUGUCUGUGAAGCAAAGUGUCCAGAAGGGGCCCGCGUGGAAGCUUCUGAGAGCGGUUAGGGGAACGGGGCCCCACGUCCUCCCCGGAGGGCUGGAGACAGAGGCAGGCCGUGCCCCCAGCCCAGAGUAGGGAGGAGGCUGGCAGGCGGCAGCUGUGGAAAGGAGGCGGAGCCCCCAGACUCCUGAGCCAGCAGAGGAAGGAGUGGGACAGAGCCCACCCCAGAGGGAGACAAGACCCCGGGGAAGAGACCC